rnacentral:rRNA from 1 species
UACAGAGGGAGCUAGCGUUGUUCGGAAUUACUGGGCGUAAAGCGCACGUAGGCGGCUUUGUAAGUUAGAGGUGAAAGCCCGGAGCUCAACUCCGGAACUGCCUUUAAGACUGCAUCGCUUGAAUCCAGGAGAGGUGAGUGGAAUUCCGAGUGUAGAGGUGAAAUUCGUAGAUAUUCGGAAGAGCACCAGUGGCGAAGGCGGCUCACUGGACCGGUAUUGACGCUGAGGUGCGAAAGCGUGGGGAGCAAACAGG